rnacentral:rRNA from 1 species
UACAGAGGUCUCAAGCGUUGUUCGGAUUCAUUGGGCGUAAAGGGUGCGUAGGUGGCGCUGCAAGUCGGGUGUGAAAUUUCGGAGCUUAACUCCGAAACUGCAUUCGAUACUGCGGUGCUUGAGGACUGGAGAGGAGACUGGAAUUUAUGGUGUAGCAGUGAAAUGCGUAGAGAUCAUAAGGAAGACCAGUGGCGAAGGCGGGUCUCUGGACAGUUCCUGACACUGAGGCACGAAGGCCAGGGGAGCAAACGGG